CGCGGAAAGCGAGACCUCGCGCCUUGGAGUGGGCCAGCUCGUUGAGGUUUGUCGGGCCUCCCAUGAUGGAUCCCAUGCAUAUAAAACAUGGUCAGCACCAAGACACUCCUUGUCAGCCUCCUCGUCCUGGCCCUGGUCUUCACAAUCGCCACGGCACAGUUCGGAGAUUACGGUGGCGGUGGACGUCAUGGUGGUGGACGCGGUGGCGGCGGACGCGGUGGUGGUGGACGCGGUGGCGGUGGACGCGGUGGAGGCGGACGUGGUGGUGGUGGACGCGGUGGUGGCGGACGUGGUGGUGGCGGGCGUGGAUUUGGCGGCUUCCGUGGUUGAUUCCUACCUGCCACACUGAGGCGUCACUCUGUGGUGUACAGCGUCGAGGCUGAGUGGCCAACCAAAUACUGUGAUUUGAGAGAGGCCUGCGAGAUCCGGCUGGACCUGUGAUCGCUGACCUUUCAGAUGGUGAUGUGCCUCUAUUGAACAUGAACUCGCAUAAACAUUGCCUUCAUUUACUGGCACCCACAAGUUUGCUGUCAUAUGUGUGCUCACUUUUUUAUCUCAUGGUGCAAUGAAGUACAGUGGCUCCUUGCCCUGACUAACUGAAUACAUUCUGUGGACAGGUUUGUUCUGCGAGACGUUCAUUCUGUGGGACAUGUUUUUUUCAUGGUUUCCUAUGGGUUCUUAAUAAAUCGUUCCCUGAUGGUGGUUUAUCAUUUGAAAAGGCAAAAA